rnacentral:rRNA from 1 species
UGCUGACAUAAGUAACGAUAAAGCGGGUGAAAAGCCCGCUCGCCGGAAGACCAAGGGUUCCUGUCCAACGUUAAUCGGGGCAGGGUGAGUCGACCCCUAAGGCGAGGCCGAAAGGCGUAGUCGAUGGGAAACAGGUUAAUAUUCCUGUACUUGGUGUUACUGCGAAGGGGGGACGGAGAAGGCUAUGUUGGCCGGGCGACGGUUGUCCCGGUUUAAGCGUGUAGGCUGGUUUUCCAGGCAAAUCCGGAAAAUCAAGGCUGAGGCGUGAUGACGAGGCACUACGGUGCUGAAGCGACAAAUGCCCUGCUUCCAGGAAAAGCCUCUAAGCAUCAGGUAACAUCAAAUCGUACCCCAAACCGACACAGGUGGUCAGGUAGAGAAUACCAAGGCGCUUGAGAGAACUCGGGUGAAGGAACUAGGCAAAAUGGUGCCGUAACUUCGGGAGAAGGCACGCUGAUAUGUAGGUGAAGCGACUUGCUCGUGGAGCUGAAAUCAGUCGAAGAUACCAGCUGGCUGCAACUGUUUAUUAAAAACACAGCACUGUGCAAACACGAAAGUGGACGUAUACGGUGUGACGCCUGCCCGGUGCCGGAAGGUUAAUUGAUGGGGUUAGCGGUAACGCGAAGCUCUUGAUCGAAGCCCCGGUAAACGGCGGCCGUAACUAUAACGGUCCUAAGGUAGCGAAAUUCCUUGUCGGGUAAGUUCCGACCUGCACGAAUGGCGUAAUGAUGGCCAGGCUGUCUCCACCCGAGACUCAGUGAAAUUGAACUCGCUGUGAAGAUGCAGUGUACCCGCGGCAAGACGGAAAGACCCCGUGAACCUUUACUAUAGCUUGACACUGAACAUUGAGCCUUGAUGUGUAGGAUAGGUGGGAGGCUUUGAAGUGUGGACGCCAGUCUGCAUGGAGCCGACCUUGAAAUACCACCCUUUAAUGUUUGAUGUUCUAACGUGGGCCCCUUACCGGGGUUGCGGACAGUGUCUGGUGGGUAGUUUGACUGGGGCGGUCUCCUCCUAAAGAGUAACGGAGGAGCACGAAGGUUGGCUAAUCCUGGUCGGACAUCAGGAGGUUAGUGCAAUGGCAUAAGCCAGCUUGACUGCGAGCGUGACGGCGCGAGCAGGUGCGAAAGCAGGUCAUAGUGAUCCGGUGGUUCUGAAUGGAAGGGCCAUCGCUCAACGGAUAAAAGGUACUCCGGGGAUAACAGGCUGAUACCGCCCAAGAGUUCAUAUCGACGGCGGUGUUUGGCACCUCGAUGUCGGCUCAUCACAUCCUGGGGCUGAAGUAGGUCCCAAGGGUAUGGCUGUUCGCCAUUUAAAGUGGUACGCGAGCUGGGUUUAGAACGUCGUGAGACAGUUCGGUCCCUAUCUGCCGUGGGCGCUGGAGAACUGAGGGGGGCUGCUCCUAGUACGAGAGGACCGGAGUGGACGCAUCACUGGUGUUCGGGUUGUCAUGCCAAUGGCACUGCCCGGUAGCUAAAUGCGGAAGAGAUAAGUGCUGAAAGCAUCUAAGCACGAAACUUGCCCCGAGAUGAGUUCUCCCUGACUCCUUGAGAGUCCUGAAGGAACGUUGAAGACGACGACGUUGAUAGGCCGGGUGUGUAAGCGCAGCGAUGCGUUGAGCUAACCGGUACUAAUGAACCGUGAGGCUUAACCUUACAACGCCGAAG